AGCUUGCUAGUAGGCGACGAGUGGCGGACGGGUGAGUAACGCGUAGGAAUCUACCUAGUAGUGGGGGAUAGCCAAGGGAAACUUUGGGUAAUACCGCAUACGAUCUAAGGAUGAAAGGGGGCCUCUCUUUGAAGCUCUCUCUAUCAGAUGAGCCUGCGUAAGAUUAGCUUGUUGGUGGGGAAAUGGCUCACCAAGGCGACGAUCUUUAACUGGUCUGAGAGGAUGAUCAGUCACACUGGAACUGAGACACGGUCCAGACUCCUACGGGAGGCAGCAGUCGGGAAUAUUGGACAAUGGGGGAAACCCUGAUCCAGCCAUGCCGCGUGUGUGAAGAAGGCUCUAGGGUUGUAAAGCACUUUUAGUAGGGAGGAAGGCUCGAUGGUUAAUACCCAUCGGGAUUGACGUUACCUACAGAAAAAGCACCGGCUAAUUUCGUGCCAGCAGCCGCGGUAAUACGAAAGGUGUAAGCGUUAAUCGGAAUUACUGGGCGUAAAGCGCGCGUAGGCGGCUUAGUAAGUUAGAUGUGAAAGCCCCGGGCUCAACCUGGGAACUGCAUCUAAAACUGCUAGGCUAGAGUAUGGUAGAGGAUGGCGGAAUUUCCUGUGUAGCGGUGAAAUGCGUAGAUAUAGGAAGGAACAUCAGUGGCGAAGGCGGCCAUCUGGACCAAUACUGACGCUGAGGUGCGAAAGCGUGGGGAGCA
rnacentral:rRNA from 1 species